AUUGAACGCUGGCGGCAGGCUUAACACAUGCAAGUCGAGCGGGGUGAUGGUGCUUGCACUAUCACUUAGCGGCGGACGGGUGAGUAAUGCUUAGGAAUCUGCCUAUUAGUGGGGGACAACAUCUCGAAAGGGAUGCUAAUACCGCAUACGUCCUACGGGAGAAAGCAGGGGAUCACUUGUGACCUUGCGCUAAUAGAUGAGCCUAAGUCGGAUUAGCUAGUUGGUGGGGUAAAGGCCUACCAAGGCGACGAUCUGUAGCGGGUCUGAGAGGAUGAUCCGCCCAACUGGGACUGGGACACGGCCCAGACUCCUACGGGAGGCAGCAGUGGGGAAUAUUGGACAAUGGGGGGAACCCUGAUCCAGCCAUGCCGCGUGUGUGAAGAAGGCCUUAUGGUUGUAAAGCACUUUAAGCGAGGAGGAGGCUCUUUUGGUUAAUACCCAAGAUGAGUGGACGUUACUCGCAGAAUAAGCACCGGCUAACUCUGUGCCAGCAGCCGCCGUAA
rnacentral:rRNA from 1 species